GACGAACGCUGGCGGCGUGCUUAACACAUGCAAGUCGAACGGAAAGGCCCUGCUUUUGUGGGGUUCUCGAGUGGCGAACGGGUGAGUAACACGUGAGUAACCUGCCCUUGACUUUGGGAUAACUUCAGGAAACUAGGGCUAAUACCGGAUAUGAUCUCCUGCUGCAUGUUGGGGGUUGGAAAGUUUCGGCGGUUGGGGAUGUACUCGCGGCUUAUCAUCUUGUUGGUGUGGUAGUUGCUUACCAAGGCUUUGACGGGUAGCCGGCCUGUGAGGGUGACCGGGCACAAUGGGACUGAGAGACGGCCCAGACGGCAACGGGAGGCAGCAGGGGGGAAUAUUGCACAAUGGGCGGAAGCAUGAUGAAGAAACGCCGGGUGCGGGAUGACGGCCUUCGGGUUGUAAACCGAUUUCGCAUGUGACGAAGCGUGAGUGACGGUAAUGGGUAAAGAAGCAACGGCUAACUACGUG
rnacentral:rRNA from 1 species